rnacentral:rRNA from 1 species
GCAAGGCCUUGCGCUCUUUGAGCGGCCGAUGUCAGAUUAGCUAGUUGGUGAGGUAACGGCUUACCAAGGCGACGAUCUGUAGCGGGUCUGAGAGGAUGAUCCGCCACACUGGAACUGAGACACGGUCCAGACUCCUACGGGAGGCAGCAGUGGGGAAUUUUGGACAAUGGGGGCAACCCUGAUCCAGCCAUGCCGCGUGAGUGAAGAAGGCCUUCGGGUUGUAAAGCUCUUUCGGCCGGGAAGAAAUCGCAUGGGCCAAUACCCUGUGUGGAUGACGGUACCGGAAUAAGAAGCACCGGCUAACUACGUGCCAGCAGCCGCGGUAAUACGUAGGGUGCGAGCGUUAAUCGGAAUUACUGGGCGUAAAGCGUGCGCAGGCGGUUUUGUAAGACAGGCGUGAAAUCCCCGGGCUCAACCUGGGAACUGCGUUUGUGACUGCAAGGCUAGAGUACGGCAGAGGGGGGUGGAAUUCCACGUGUAGCAGUGAAAUGCGUAGAGAUGUGGAGGAACACCAAUGGCGAAGGCAGCCCCCUGGGUCGAUGCUGACGCUCAUGCACGAAAGCGUGGGUAGCAAACAGGAUUAGAUACCCUGGUAGUCCACGCCCUAAACUAUGUCAACUAGGUGUUGGGUGGGUAAAACCAUUUAGUACCGUAGCUAACGCGUGAAGUUGACCGCCUGGGGAGUACGGCCGCAAGGUUAAAACUCAAAGGAAUUGACGGGGACCCGCACAAGCGGUGGAUGAUGUGGAUUAAUUCGAUGCAACGCGAAAAACCUUACCUACCCUUGACAUGCCAGGAACUUGCCAGAGAUGGCUUGGUGCCCGAAAGGGAGCCUGGACACAGGUGCUGCAUGGCUGACGUCAGCUCGUGUCGUGAGAUGUUGGGUUAAGUCCCGCAACGAGCGCAACCCUUGUCGUUAAUUGCCAUCAUUUAGUUGGGCACUUUAGCGAGACUGCCGGUGACAAACCGGAGGAAGGUGGGGAUGACGUCAAGUCCUCAUGGCCCUUAUGGGUAGGGCUUCACACGUCAUACAAUGGUCGGUACAAAGGGUCGCCAAGCCGCGAGGUGGAGCCAAUCCCAGAAAGCCGAUCGUAGUCCGGAUUGCAGGCUGCAACUCGCCUGCAUGAAGUCGGAAUCGCUAGUAAUCGUGGAUCAGCAUGUCACGGUGAAUACGUUCCCGGGUCUUGUACACACCGCCCGUCACACCAUGGGAGCGGGUUCCGCCAGAAGUAGGUAGCUC